rnacentral:rRNA from 1 species
GACGAACGCUGGCGGCGUGCUUAACAAAUGCAAGUCGAACGGAAAGGCCCGGCUUUGGUGGGUUGCUCGAGUGGCGAACGGGUGAGUAACACGUGAGUAACCUGCCCUUGACUUUGGGAUAACUUCAGGAAACUGGGGCUAAUACCGGAUAGGAGCUCCUGCUGCAUGGGGGGGGUUGGAAAGUUUCGGCGGUUGGGGAUGGACUCGCGGCUUAUCAGCUUGUUGGUGGGGUAGUGGCUUACCAAGGCUUUGACGGGUAGCCGGCCUGAGAGGGUGACCGGCCACAUUGGGACUGAGAUACGGCCCAGACUCCUACGGGAGGCAGCAGUGGGGAAUAUUGCACAAUGGGCGGAAGCCUGAUGCAGCAACGCCGCGUGCGGGAUGACGGCCUUCGGGUUGUAAACCGCUUUCGCCUGUGACGAAGCGUGAGUGACGGUAAUGGGUAAAGAAGCACCGGCUAACUACGUG